CACGUAGGGGGCGAGCGUUGUCCGGAUUUAUUGGGCGUAAAGAGCUCGUAGGCGGCUCAGUAAGUCAGGUGUGAAACCUCCAGGCUCAACCUGGAGACGCCACCUGAUACUGCUGUGGCUUGAGUCCGGUAGGGGAGUGUGGAAUUCCUGGUGUAGCGGUGAAAUGCGCAGAUAUCAGGAGGAACACCAGCGGCGAAGGCGGCACUCUGGGCCGGUACUGACGCUGAGGAGCGAAAGCGUGGGUAGCAAACAGG
rnacentral:rRNA from 1 species